UCAACAAUAAGGGAUAAGAUUAUACCUCAUGCUGUGUCAUGGUUUACUGGUGAGGCCAUUCAGGGAGAGGAGUUUGGAGACCUGGAAGAUAAUGAUGAAGACGACAUUGAAGAGGAUGAUGAUGAUGAAGAAGAUGAGGAUGAGGAUGAAGAAAACCAAGACAAAAAAGAAGCCAUCACAUAAGAAAGGUGGAAGAGCACCGGCUGGUGAAGGUCAACAGGGUGAGCGACCUCCAGAGUGAAAGUAGUAGUAAAAGUUUAUCUAUUAUGAUUUAUGCAGUAGCUGAAAGCUUUCUUGUUGGAGAAUGUCUGUUGAAAUAGUGUGGUUCAUGCAAUUUUGUUUUAUGAUGCUUAAUUCAUUUUUCUCUUUUAAGGUCUUGGUAGUUUGAAUUGUUGGUCUCCAUUCUCCUAUUUUUCCUACAUGUUUUGGAGAGAAUGUUGUUAUAUAGUGUUAGGAUGCUAGGAUUGUUAUUGUUGGACUUUGUAUUUGUGUCUCGUAUACUUCAAAUAUAUAGUGGGAGUUUAUGGUUUA